CAGCAGCCGCGGUAAUACGGAGGGUGCAAGCGUUAAUCGGAAUUACUGGGCGUAAAGCGCACGCAGGCGGUCUGACAAGUCAGAUGUGAAAUCCCCGGGCUUAACCUGGGAACUGCAUUUGAAACUGUCAGGCUGGAGUCUUGUAGAGGGGGGUGGAAUUCCAGGUGUAGCGGUGAAAUGCGUAGAGAUCUGGAGGAAUACCGAUGGCGAAGGCAGCCAUCUGGCCUAAUACUGACGCUGAGGUACGAAAGCAUGGGGAGCAAACAGGAUUAGAUACCCGCGUAGUCCCUGUCUCUUAUAC
rnacentral:rRNA from 1 species